rnacentral:rRNA from 1 species
GCCAUGCAUGUCUCAGUACUUGCCGAACGAAAGGCGAAACCGCGAAUGGCUCAUUAAAUCAGUUAUGGUUCCUUGGACCGUGCCAAACUACUUGGACACCCGUGGCAAUUCUAGAGCUAAUACAUGCAGCAGAGCUCCGACCUCCGGGGACGAGCGCUUUUAUUAGACCAAGACCGACCGGGCCUCGCGUCCGUCGAAUGUGGUGACUCUGGAUAACUUUGGGCUGAUCGCACGGGCUCGUCCCGGCGACGCGUCCUCCAAGUAUCUGCCUUAUCAACUGUCGAUGGUAGGCCACGUGCCUACCAUGGUGGUGACGGGUGACGGGGAAUCAGGGUUCGAUUCCGGAGAGGGAGCCUGAGAAACGGCUACCACAUCCAAGGAAGGCAGCAGGCGCGCAAAUUACCCACUCCCGGCACGGGGAGGUAGUGACGAAAAAUAACAAUACGGGACUCUUUUGAGACCCCGUAAUUGGAAUGAGUACACUCUAAAUCCUUUAACGAGGACCCAUUGGAGCACAAGCCUGGUGCCAGCACGCGCGGUAACUCCAGUUCCAAUAGCGUAUAUUAAAGUUGUUGCGGUUAAAAAGCUCGUAGUUGGAUCUCAGUUCCGGCCGGGAGGUCCGCCACACGGCGGUAACCGACCGCGCCGAACAGCCAGGCGGCUUCCCCCGAUGAUCUUCACCGGUUGUCCCGGGUGGCCGCCACGUUUACUUUGAAAAAAUUAGAGUGCUCAGAGCAGGCUUGCCCAGCCUGGACAGUGGUGCAUGGAAUAAUGGAAUAGGACCUCGGUUCUGUUCUGUUGGUCUUCGGAAGACGAGGUAAUGAUUAAGAGGGACAGACGGGGGCAUUCGUAUUGCGGCGCUAGAGGUGAAAUUCUUGGACCGCCGCAAGACGAACUACUGCGAAAGCAUUUGCCAAGAAUGUUUCCAUUAAUCAAGAACGAAAGUUAGAGGCCCGAAGGCGAUCAGAUACCGCCCUAGUUCUAACCAUAAACGAUGCCAGCCAGCGAUCCGGCUGCGUUCCUCAAAUGACGCGCCGGGCAGCUUCCGGGAAACCAGAGCUUCUGGGUUCCGGGGGAAGUAUGGUUGCAAAGCUGAAACUUAAAGGAAUUGACGGAAAGACACCACCAGCCGUGGGAUAUGCGGCUUAAUUUGACUCAACGCGGGAAGGCUUACCUGGCCCGGAUACAGGAAGGAUUGACAGAUUGAGAGCUCUUUCUUGAUUCUGUAAGGUGUGGUGCAUGGCCGUUUUUAGUUGGUGGAGCGAUUUGUCUGCUUAAUUGCGAUAACGAACGAAAUCCCAACCUGCUAAAUAGGCGCUCCGAUCCUUCGAGUCGGACGCCUCUUCUUAGAGGGACCAGCGGCGUUCAGCCGCACGAGACGGGGCCAAAACAGGUCUGGCAUGCCCUCAGAUGUCCAGGGCCGCACGCGCGUCACAAUGGAGGGAUCAACGUGCGCUCUCCCAGCCCGACAGGGCCGGGCAACCCGUUGAAACCCCUCCGUGCUUGGGAUUGGAGCUUUCAACUGUUCUCCAUGAACGAGGAACGCCUAGUAGGCGCGAGUCGUCAACUCGUGCCGACUAUGUCCCUGUCUUUUGUCCACACCGCCCGUCGCUAUGAGCGAUUGGAUGGGGUAGUGAGUUCUUCGGACCGGCGCCCGUUCUGGCCUCCGGGUCGGGUCGGCGUGCUGGAAAGACGAGCGAACUUGUCCAUCUAGAGCACAUAAAGUCGUAACAAGGUUGCC